rnacentral:rRNA from 1 species
AUGGCAUUGUCCUACGGCCUUUCCCUAAAUAAUUCCUUUGUUAGCUCUAUUCAAAAGCAAUGUGACCUUGCAAACAAAAUAAUAUCUGUGGAACGGGUGAACCAGUACAUGGACAUUCCGAGUGAAGCAGCAGAAGUUAUUGAAGAAAACCGACCACACCAGAUUGGCCCCAGGUUGGCAGUGUGGAGCUUAAAGAUUUGA